rnacentral:misc_RNA from 1 species
CAGCAAAACGAUACAAUAACUUUAGUAAAAUGGAGAAAGCACAGCUGGUGUUCGUCCCCUGGCCUGGUAUGGGCCAUCUUGUAUCCGCAGUGGAGCUAGCAAAGCAUCUUCUCACCCGCGACCAACGACUCUCCGUCACUAUCCUUAUCCUCCAGCUAUCUUUCAUCAACUCCAAGCAGGUUCAUAACUACAUUGAAUCGCUUCAAGCUUCCUCCUCCACUAUAUCCAAUUCUCUCCGAUUCAUUGUUUUGCCGA